UAUCAUAAAGCACAUCUGUGUGAUCCAAUGUUCUUUUCAGAUAAUGAUUGUCAAUGGUGGCUGUGGAUGGUACACAUUUGUGUCCUGAAUGGAGGAUGCUGUUGAUCACACUAUACAGUCACAGAUUAUAUGUUUGCUGUCUGAUUUCAGAUGCAAGGGGCAGAAAAAUCCAGCCAUGUGUUCAACAGGGUAUAGAAACUGUUCCAAUGAUUACAGCUGAAAACACAACAGUUGAGAAAAUAGUGAUACUUCUGGAACAUGUCAUGUAAUUUCCAGUUGAUGGUGAUGUAGAAGGGGUGAUUCUGAACCUCUUUCACAUCUCUAGGUCCACCUCCAAGACGUGUGUUUGGGUCCUUAUGCAGCAGGCCCCUGAGGAGGUCUCGUGCUUCUUGUGAUAUUGUACGUGGGAAUCUUACCUAUUGUUAAAACAGGGAAUGAAGUUAAAAUAUUGCUUGCUUGCUUUGGAUGAAAGUAUUUCUUAAUGCCAAUGUAGUAAUACAUAUA